rnacentral:hammerhead_ribozyme from 1 species
AUCCAGCUGACGAGUCCCAAAUUUUAUUUGUUACAUUUUUCUUUUAACACGUAGAUAUUGGUACAAGGAGGCACCAAAUACAUACGCGACACACAAAUCUCAUUCGAUAUGUGUGAGGGCUGUGAUAAUGCCCGGGUGCCCAAACCGAACCAGGUGGUUUUCUUAGGGGGCCACUCCCCGAGCCUUCGACCUGAAGGUCUAAUCCACAAGGUAGUGGAGCAUCGUAAGGGGAUGCAGUCCCAUGGAAGCUGGUGACCAACAAUUGAUUCAUACGCCAUUUGUUCCCGCAGGAUACUGGAGCCCAUGUGCACCAUUGGUUUGGAAUCCGGUUAAAGCGCCGGACAUUCACUUUUCAUCCUCUCAUUUUCGAAAACAAAACCCCGCCACGAGAAGGCAGUGAGUAGGACUUCCCUGGCAGAGGCUAUGUACGCGUGGCCAUGUGAGAGCAUUUGCAGAGGGAGAGCGGAUUUUCCCCACUCUGGGUCGUACCAGGGCAUUUGGGGGCGACGAGUCCCAAAUAGGACGAAACACACGUCCUGGAU